AUUGAACGCUGGCGGCAGGCUUAACACAUGCAAGUCGAGCGAGGGGCGGACGGGUGAGUAAUGUGUGGGAAACCGCCAGAGGGGGGGGGAACAACAGUGGAAAGGGGCGCUAAUACCACAUACUAUCAGGAGCGCCUAGAUGGGAAGAGCUAGGAGGUGGGGUAAUGGCUCAUAGGGGCGACGACCCCUAGCUGGUCUGAGAGGAUGACCAGCCACACUGGAACGGAGACACGGCCCAGACUCCUACGGGAGGCAGCAGUGGGGAUUAUUGCACAAUGGGCGCAAGCCUGAUGCAGCCAUGCCGCGUGUGUGAAGAAGGCCUUCGGGUGUUAAAGCACUUUCAGCGGGGAGGCGUUACCGGCAGAAGAAGCACCGGCUAACUCCGUGCCAGCAGCCGCGGUAAUUC
rnacentral:rRNA from 1 species